rnacentral:rRNA from 1 species
AUUGAACGCUGGCGGCAUGCUUUACGCAUGCAAGUCGAACGGUAACAGGCCUUCGGGUGCUGCCGAGUGGCGAACGGGUGAGUAAUGCAUCGGAACGUGCCCAGAGGUGGGGGAUAACGCAGCGAAAGCUGUGCUAAUACCGCAUGUGAUCUGAGGAUGAAAGCGGGGGACCAGGCAGCAAUGUUUGGUCUCGCGCCUUUGGAGCGGCCGAUGUCAGAUUAGGUAGUUGGUGGGGUAAAGGCCUACCAAGCCGACGAUCUGUAGCUGGUCUGAGAGGACGACCAGCCACACUGGGACUGAGACACGGCCCAGACUCCUACGGGAGGCAGCAGUGGGGAAUUUUGGACAAUGGGCGCAAGCCUGAUCCAGCAAUGCCGCGUGCGGGAAGAAGGCCUUCGGGUUGUAAACCGCUUUUGUACGGAACGAAAAGGCUCUGGCUAAUACCUGGGGCUGAUGACGGUACCGUAAGAAUAAGCACCGGCUAACUACGUG